rnacentral:rRNA from 1 species
UACGAAGGGGGCUAGCGUUGUUCGGAAUUACUGGGCGUAAAGCGCGCGCAGGCGGUCCUUUAAGUCGGGGGUGAAAGCCCAGAGCUCAACUCUGGAACUGCCUUCGAAACUAGAGGACUUGGGUACGGGAGAGGUGAGUGGAAUUCCCGGUGUAGCAGUGAAAUGCGUAGAGAUCGGGAGGAACAUCUGUGGCGAAGGCGGCCACCUGGACCAACACUGACACUGAGGCACGAAAGCGUGGGGAGCAAACCGG